rnacentral:rRNA from 1 species
CCUACGGGAGGCAGCAGUGGGGAAUAUUGCACAAUGGGGGAAACCCUGAUCCAGCCAAGUCGCGUGAGGGAGGAAUUAUCUAUGGGUUGUAAACUUCUUUUGUAGGGGAUCAAAGUGAAGGAUGUGUACCACGAAGCACCGGCCAACUACGUGCCGACAGCCGCGGUAAUACGGAGGAGGCGAGCGUUAUCCGGAUUGACUGGGUGUAACGGGAGCGUAGACGGGAAGGGGAGUCAGAGGUGAAAGUCCAAGGCUCAACCAUAGGACUGCAGUUGAAACUGGCAUACUAGAGUACAGGAGAGGUAAGAGGAAUUCGUGGUGUAGCGGUGAAAUGCGUAGAUAUUACGAGGAACACCAGUGGCGAAGGCAGCUUACUGGACCGAAACUGACGUUGAGGCUCGAAAGCGUGGGGAGCAAACAGGAUUAGAUACCCCAGUAGUC